rnacentral:rRNA from 1 species
AUCAUGGCUCAGGACGAACGCUGGCGGCGUGCUUAACACAUGCAAGUCGAGCGGAAAGGCCACUUCGGUGGUACUCGAGCGGCGAACGGGUGAGUAACACGUGAGUAAUCUGCCCUUGGCUUUGGGAUAGCCACCGGAAACGGUGAUUAAUACCGGAUACGACCACUUCACGCAUGUGAUGGUGGUGGAAAGUUUUUCGGCCAGGGAUGUGCUCGCGGCCUAUCAGCUUGAUGGUGAGGUAAUGGCUCACCAUGGCUUCGACGGGUAGCCGGCCUGAGAGGGUGCCCGGCCACACUGGGACUGAGACACGGCCCAGACUCCUACGGCAGGCAGCAGUGGGGAAUAUUGGACAAUGGGGGGAAGCCUGACCCAGCAUCCCCGCGUGAGGCAUGACGGCCUUCGAAUUGUAACCCUCNUUCAGCAGGUACGAAANGCAAUUG